UACGUAGGGUGCAAGCGUUGUCCGGAAUCAUUGGGCGUAAAGAGCGUGUAGGCGGUCCGGUAAGUCCGCUGUGAAAGUCGGGGGCUCAACCCUCGAAUGCCGGUGGAUACUGUCGGGCUAGAGUGCGGGAAGAGGCGAGUGGAAGUUCCUGGUGUAGCGGUGAAAGUGACGCAGAUAUCAGGGAGGAACACCUAUUGCGAAGGCAGCUCGCUGGGACGUAACUGACGCUGAGACGCGAAAGCGUGGGGAGCAAACAGG
rnacentral:rRNA from 1 species